UUAGGAUUUUCUAUUUUUCGUUUGUACUCGAAAUGGUUGAUCAAACUAGUUGAUGUGUCGCACACAUGAACCAAUCAGAACAGUGCUAAUUUGGAUUGUACCUAAACUAGUCGAUCGAUACCAACCUAUUUGGAUUGUACCUAAACUAGUUCACGCAUUACAUCGGCACCGAUCAGUUCGGCUCUAACACGGUUGAUACUGACUAGAUCCGUCAUUAGGCAGACCUAUGGUUGAUACUGCUGGCACUAGUCUUAUGCUGUCUCCAGCAUAGCCCUGAAUGGACGUGCAUGUACAAAAUCCACGCUUACAAGCGAUUGUACACCCUUUCAGCAAAGACACGGAAAAAUGUGCGUUCAUCCUCCUCGUAUUCGAAAUCUAUAGAUUUCUACCCUCGUCGGGUCUAUGUACCCGUCCAUGCGGACGCCCUGCUCACCUGGUAUUUUACUGGUACAGCCUUAGCCGAUGGUGACUAGGAGGAGCAGCAGUAUCGCCACCGGGGUACCAGUCGCCCCACCGCCGGAGAUGGUGAAUGAAUGGUGAUGGUCAC
rnacentral:lncRNA from 7 species